rnacentral:rRNA from 1 species
UGGGGAAUAUUGGACAAUGGGGGCAACCCUGAUCCAGCAAUGCCGCGUGAGUGAAGAAGGCCUUCGGGUUGUAAAACUCUUUUAUCAGGGACGAUAAUGACGGUACCUGAGGAAUAAGCUCCGGCUAACCUCGUGCCAGCAGCCGCGGUGAUACGAAGGGAGCUAGCGUUGUUCGGAAUUCCUGGGCGUAAAGGGCGCGUAGGCGGUAAGAUAAGUCAGGUGUGAAAGCCUGUGGCUUAACGUGGGAACUGCGUUGGAUACGGGCUAACUAGAGGACGAGAGAGGAAAGUGGAAUUACGAGUGUAGAGGUGAAAUGCGUAGAUAUUCGUAAGAACACCAGUGGCGAAGGCGACUUUCUGGCUCGUUUCUGACGCUAAGGCGCGAAAGCGUGGGGAGCAAACA